AUGGUUCUGGAUGAUUCUGCUCAGAUGAGACGGACUCUGCAGGGUUUCGGCAGUGUGCUGACAGAGAUGGGAAGUGUGUUUGAUGUCAGUCCAUUAGAGGAGCAGCUCUCAAAUGCUGAUCGACGUGUGGCAGAUAUGCAGCACAACCUGCUGGGACCUCUCUCUCAGCUGGAGCAUGCAGCAGCAGUGAGCAUACCGGCGUCUAAUAAGAUAAAUGACUAUAUAUUAUAGACUUGUAUUGUUUUUAUAUAAAGCCUAUAAUCAUUUAUUUUAUGAGAUAUAUAUAUGUGUGUAUGUGUGUGUGUGUGUUCCCAGAGGGAGGUUAGCUAAACUGUAGUUUAGUGCAUACAAAUGCAGAGCUGUGUUAUCUGGAAAAAGAGCAAAGUGAAUCUGUUCAUGUGUGCAUUUGCAUGGUGUGUUUUUUAAGGAAGUGGAUGCCAUUGAGUCAGAGGUGAAAGUUCAUGGAGAAAGAUGUGGCCAAAAUCAAAUCCACUCUGACCACCAAAGAAGACAUCAGUCAGGACAGUCUUAAGGUAAAAGAAAAAUUUGCCUUGUAUUUAAACAUUUGACCAGGUAUGGGCGUAACCAUAAUGAUGUAGAAGGUGAAAGUCAUGGAGAAAGAUGUGGCCAAAAUCAAAUCCACUCUGACACCAAAGAAGACAUCAGUCAGGACAGUCUUAAGGUAAAAGAAAAAUUUGCCUUGUAUUUAAACAUUUGACCAGGUAUGGGCGUAACCAUAAUGAUGUAGUUACUAUUAAGAUCCUGAUUGCUGUGGGUGGUUUGUGUGUGUUUGCAGACAACAGAAGAAAGGAUUGACUUGAUGAAAAGGACAGUCACUGAGAUUCAGAACUGUAAGGAUGGUCUGUGUCUUCCUGACAAAGCUGAAAACACACUCUUAGUGUUCAAAAAAGCUGAACAACUACAGAAACAACUGCUGGAACUUGAACAGGUGUAUAUAUAUACUGUGUGCACACACAAGCAUGCGAACACAAUUCACACAAUGCUCAGUAUUAUGUUUGUCUCCUCUCAGCUGGCACUAGAAUACUCGAUUGAGGUACAGGAGACAUUUAUGCCACCUCUCUGUGUCACACCCCUCAAUGCUCCGCCCCUCACUGCCCCAACCCUCAGUGUUCCACCCACAAUCACUGAGGAAGACACACAGGAGAGUGGUCAGAUUCAGAUUGUGCAUGUAGAGGAGGACAUCCUGAAAAAGGCAGGAGCAACGCUGAUGACGGUGGAGCAAUCCACACUGGAGCAGAGACUCACCUGGAUCUCUGAUAGAAGCAGCCAAACUGUCACAGAAACACAGCAGGAGUCUGAGGAAGAGGAGGAGCUCUGUAAGGAUCCAGGAGAUGUAGAGGAAGAUACUUCUGGUGAAGACUAUGAAGAUUGCAUGAAAAAUGAGGAUGAGGAGGCAAGAGGAAGAUCACCAACCUCUCUGAAUUCUGAGACUUCCUUCAGCAUGACUGUGGAGGACAGAGAUUCUGCAGACGUGGUUUCUUCUACAGAACAGAUUUUGGAGCAAGCAGAAGCAGCUGACUCAAAGGUAACACUAGACCUCUACAGUAAUGGCCAGUCUUUAUUUGAUCACAUUAAUGUGUAUGUGUAG
rnacentral:lncRNA from 1 species